GACGCACGCUGGCGGCGUGCUUCACACAUGCAAGUCGAACGAAGUGGCGAACGGGUGAGUAACGCGUAAUCAACCUGCCCUUCAGAGGGGGACAACAGGUGGCAACGACUGCUAAUACCGCAUACUCCAGUAGGGGAUUGCGUGUGAUUAGCUAGUUGGAGGGUUAACGGCCCACCAAGGCGAUGCUCAGUAGCCGGUCUGAGAGGAUGAACGGCCACAUUGGGACUGAGACACGGCCCAGACUCCUACGGGAGGCAGCAGGGGGGAAUCUUGCGCAAUGGACGAAAGUCUGACGGAGCAACGCCGCGUGAGUGAUGACGGCCUGCGGGUUGUAAAGCUCUGUUAAUCGGUACGCGGUACCGGAAUAGAAAGCCACGGCUAACUACGUGCCAGCAGCCGCGGUAAUAC
rnacentral:rRNA from 1 species